UCUAAGGUUUUUUUCAUAACCACCAUUUAUACUCAUUUAAAAAAAUU
rfam:Picea glauca, whole genome shotgun sequence.